UGGGAAUUUUGGACAAUGGGCGAAAGCCUGAUCCAGCAAUGCCGCGUGUGUGAAGAAGGCCUUCGGGUUGUAAAGCACUUUUGUCCGGAAAGAAAUCCUUGGCUCUAAUACAGUCGGGGGAUGACGGUACCGGAAGAAUAAGCACCGGCUAACUACGUGCCAGCAGCCGCGGUAAUACGUAGGGUGCAAGCGUUAAUCGGAAUUACUGGGCGUAAAGCGUGCGCAGGCGGUUUGCUAAGACCGAUGUGAAAUCCCCGGGCUCAACCUGGGAACUGCAUUGGUGACUGGCAGGCUAGAGUAUGGCAGAGGGGGGUAGAAUUCCACGUGUAGCAGUGAAAUGCGUAGAGAUGUGGAGGAAUACCGAUGGCGAAGGCAGCCCCCUGGGCCAAUACUGACGCUCAUGCACGAAAAGCGUGGGGAGCAAAACAGGAUUAGAUACCCUGGUAGUCCACGCCCUAAAANGAUGUCAACUAGUUGUUGGGGAUUCAUUUCCUUAGUAACGUAGCUAACGCGUGAAGUUGACCGCCUGGGGAGUACGGUCGCAAGAUU
rnacentral:rRNA from 1 species